UACGUAGGGGGGCAAGCGUUGUCCGGAAUCAUUGGGCGUAAAGCGCGUGUAGGCGGUUCGGUAAGUCGGCUGUGAAAGUCCAGGGCUCAACCCUGGGGAUGCCGGUCGAUACUGCCGGACUAGAGUUCGGAAGAGGCGAGUGGAAUUCCCCGGUGUAGCGGUGAAAUGCGCAGAUAUCGGGGAGGAACACCAAUGGCGAAGGCAGCUCGCUGGGACGUUACUGACGCUGAGACGCGAAAGCGUGGGGGAGCAAACAGG
rnacentral:rRNA from 1 species